rnacentral:rRNA from 1 species
CGGCGCGCCUAACACAUGCAAGUCGAACGAGCGAGAGAGAGCUUGCUUUCUCAAGCGAGUGGCGAACGGGUGAGUAACGCGUGAGGAACCUGCCUCAAAGAGGGGGACAACAGUUGGAAACGACUGCUAAUACCGCAUAAGCCCACGACCCGGCAUCGGGUAGAGGGAAAAGGAGCAAUCCGCUUUGAGAUGGCCUCGCGUCCGAUUAGCUAGUUGGUGAGGUAAUGGCCCACCAAGGCGACGAUCGGUAGCCGGACUGAGAGGUUGAACGGCCACAUUGGGACUGAGACACGGCCCAGACUCCUACGGGAGGCAGCAGUGGGGAAUAUUGCACAAUGGGGGAAACCCUGAUGCAGCGACGCCGCGUGGAGGAAGAAGGUCUUCGGAUUGUAAACUCCUGUUGUUGAGGAAGAUAAUGACGGUACUCAACAAGGAAGUGACGGCUAACUACGUGCCAGCAGCCGCGGUAAAACGUAGGUCACAAGCGUUGUCCGGAAUUACUGGGUGUAAAGGGAGCGCAGGCGGGAAGACAAGUUGGAAGUGAAGUCCAUGGGCUCAACCCAUGAACUGCUUUCAAAACUGUUUUUCUUGAGUAGUGCAGAGGUAGGCGGAAUUCCCGGUGUAGCGGUGGAAUGCGUAGAUAUCGGGAGGAACACCAGUGGCGAAGGCGGCCUACUGGGCACCAACUGACGCUGAGGCUCGAAAGUGUGGGUAGCAAACAGGAUUAGAUACCCUGGUAGUCCACACUGUAA